AUUGAACGCUGGCGGCAGGCUUAACACAUGCAAGUCGAGCGGGGUGAUGGUGCUUGCACUAUCACUUAGCGGCGGACGGGUGAGUAAUGCUUAGGAAUCUGCCUAUUAGUGGGGGACAACAUCUCGAAAGGGAUGCUAAUACCGCAUACGUCCUACGGGAGAAAGCAGGGGAUCACUUGUGACCUUGCGCUAAUAGAUGAGCCUAAGUCGGAUUAGCUAGUUGGUGGGGUAAAGGCCUACCAAGGCGACGAUCUGUAGCGGGUCUGAGAGGAUGAUCCGCCACACGUGGGCUGAGACACGGCCCAGACUCCUACGGGAGGCAGCAGUGGGGAAUAUUGGACAAUGGGGGGAACCCUGAUCCAGCCAUGCCGCGUGUGUGAAGAAGGCCUUAUGGUUGUAAAGCACUUUAAGCGAGGAGGAGGCUCUUUUGGUUAAUACCCAAGAUGAGUGGACGUUACUCGCAGAAUAAGCACCGGCUAACUCUGUGCCAGCCGCCGCGGUAA
rnacentral:rRNA from 1 species